GAGACUAAGCUAGUUUGCUCCUCUUCAAAUGAUGGCACAUUUAUUGCUUGGUCCUCAGGUGCUGUUGUGUUUGAUCGUAUCAAGUUGGGAAGUCCAAUCUUCAGCCUUGCUAUCAACUAUGGGCGCCGUUUGCUGGUGUGCGGAUUCAAGACACACCUCUCUGUUUACCCAUUAGAUGAGAAGAAAACAACCGGGCACAUAAUUGACCUGAAGAGGAGCUGCUCUGACCAUAAGCACACAGAUAUUGUAUCAUCCAUUGUGUCUCUAGAUAAUCAGAUUUAUACAGUUGGGUAUGACAAAAAGUUUCUGAUAUUUGACACAUAUCAGACUUCUGAAAAAAUCAGUCUCAUAGCUGUGCAUUGCAAUUUACGUGCACAUGAAGCAG